rnacentral:lncRNA from 1 species
CACACACUCUUCUUUUUUAAUUCGAAUUGAUUCGAAUUGGCUAAUUCGAAUUAUCCAAUUCGCAUUAGAAAUACGCUUUUGUGAAUACGAAUUAAAAGUUAACGUCGUUUGGACAGUGAAGCGAUUUGACGCACAUUGCAAUUCGAAUUAUAAUUGACAUUUGGGCGUAAAACGUUUCGAAUGCGAAUUAAACUAAUUCGAAU